AAUUAAACCAACCACAAAUCCUCAACCGUAUCUGCUUCACUUCCCCAUUCUCCAUUUCCCUCUGCUUGAAUACACACAUUCACUCCCACUAAUUACACACACUGCUACACAUGAUAUAUAUAUAUAUAUAUAUGAGGACACGAAAUGAUGAAAAACAGAGUAAAGAUUAAGUAUGGUUGUUGAAUUGGUACAGUCAGUUUCGAACCCAAAUUGUAACAUACAUCUAUUUAAUUUUUUAGAAAACAAUAAUUACCAUUAUAGGAUAUGGCGUGAGAUGGAGACUCAGAAGUGAAGAUAAUUUGUAUGUCUUUGAGAUUCUCCUUUACAUAUGCAGACAUCUUAAGAUUUUUAUGACCCUUCAAGUGCUUUUGUAUUUGUUGUAUGUCAAGCAUAUAAUUUGCAAUUUGUCUUAAGAUUUUUAUGACCCUACAAGUACUUUUGUGUCUGUUGAGCAUAUAGUUUGUAUGAAGUCGCGGUUGAAGGCAAGACAGGGAAGCCUUUUUAUGCAAAGUUUCGUGAUCACCAUACGAUAGCAGAACAUUUGUAAUACUGAGACCAGACAUGCAGAACAUGACAUUGCUUGACAACCAGAUGAGAGGUGCGCCUGAUAGACAAUGCCAUUAUAUUAUUGAACUUCCACAAGACCAAGAGCAAAUGCAAUGAUUUAUAGGCUUCACAGGACAGUCUUUAUGCCAUGUUUCAUACGCCAUCGCCUACUCUCUUCAUUGUUGUCGCUGUAGUUAUGCCAUGUUUGGCAACAAUUGCGAUUGUUGGGCUUAAGAACUUUUUCAAAGCGCCAAAAUUUGAAAUUCCUUCCUUUAUUAGUCGACUUAUUUAGCGUAGUCAGGACGAACUAGCACUUCUCAAUUCUUGUUAGGAAGCAAAUUCUCUGAUAUUGAAUGCAUAUUAUUUCAUAUGGUC